rnacentral:misc_RNA from 1 species
UACGUAGGGACCAAGCGUUGUCCGGAAUUAUUGGGCGUAAAGAGCUCGUAGGCGGUCCACUAAGUCGGAUGUGAAAUCUCAGGGCUCAACCCUGAAACUGCAUCCGAUACUGGUGGACUUGAGGCAGGUAGGGGAAGGUGGAAUUCCUGGUGGAGCGGUGAAAUGCUCAGAUAUCAGGAGGAACACCAAUGGCGAAGGCAGCCUUCUGGGCCUGUACUGACGCUGAGGAGCGAAAGCGUGGGGAGCAAACAGG